rnacentral:rRNA from 1 species
CGGGCGACGCGCCGGUCUAAGUCCCUUGGAACGGGGCGUCAUAGAGGGUGAGAAUCCCGUAUGUGACCGGCGACCGAGCCUGUGUGAAACCCCUUCGACGAGUCGAGUUGUUUGGGAAUGCAGCUCAAAGCGGGUGGUAAAUUUCAUCUAAAGCUAAAUACCGGCCAGAGACCGAUAGCGCACAAGUAGAGUGAUCGAAAGAUGAAAAGCACUUUGGAAAGAGAGUCAAAAAGUACGUGAAAUUGUUGAAAGGGAAGCGCUUGCAACCAGACCUGCCCGCGGGUGAUCAGCCGUCCUUCGGGGCGGUGCACUCGCCCGCGAUCAGGCCAGCAUCGGUUCGGGCGGCCGGAUAAAGGCCUUGGGAACGUGGCUCCCCUCGGGGAGCGUUAUAGCCCAGGGUGCAAUGCGGCCCGCCCGGACCGAGGACCGCGCUUCGGCUAGGAUGCUGGCGUAAUGGUUGUAAGCGGCCCGUCUUGAAACACGGACCAAGGAGUCGACCAACCGUGCGAGUGUUUGGGCGUCAAACCCACACGCGCAAUGAAAGUGAACGGAGGUGGGAACCCCUCGCGGGGCGCACCAUCGACCGAUCCAGAUGUCUUCGGAUGGAUUUGAGUACGAGCAUGGCUGGUCGGACCCGAAAGAUGGUGAACUAUGCCUGGAUAGGGUGAAGCCAGAGGAAACUCUGGUGGAGGCUCGCAGCGGUUCUGACGUGCAAAUCGAUCGUCAAAUUUGGGCAUAGGGGCGAAAGACUAAUCGAACCAUC